rnacentral:lncRNA from 1 species
CUUUUACAAAAAUCUUCUCCUCUGAAACUACUGGGCCAAAUUAAUCCAAACUUGGCUACAAUAAUCUUUGGGGUAUUAAGUUUAAAAAAUGUGUCCGGUGACCCAGCAUCAAACCAAGAUGGCCGCCACGGCUAAAAAUAGAACAUAGGGGUAAAAUGUAGUUUUUGGCUUCUAACUCAAAAACCAAAGCAUUUAGAGCAAAUCUGACGUGGGUAAAAUUGUUUAUCUGGUCAAAAUCUAUCUGCCCUGAAAUUUUUAGAUGAAUCGGACAACUCGUU